GGGAAGGGUAAGAGGGAGAGGGUACUCGAUUACCUGCUCGAGAGCCGAUGAAGGUCGUGCCAAGCUGCGAUAUGCGCUGGUGAGGCGCAAGGAGCCCUAGAACCAGCGAUAGCCUAAUGGGACUUCCUAGGCUUCGGCUUAAUCCCCUUGGGGAUGGGGAACGCGGGGAAUUGAAGCAUCUUAGUACCCGCAGGAAGAAAAAUCAAAUGAGAUGCCGUAAGUAAAGGCGAUCGAAAGCGGCAAAGGGCAAACCGAAUCCUUAUAAGAAAUUAUAGGGAGAUGUGGAGUUGUAGACUCCGUUACCUCUUCGCUUGUUGACUCGAAGUGUGGCUGGAACGCCCUACCAUAGAGGGUGAAAGUCCCGUACAGGGAAGCAAGAAAGAGGAUUUCGGAGAUUCUUGAGUAUCAUGCGUCGGAUAUCGUGUGUGAAUUGGGAGUCACUAACUUCCAACCCUAAAUACUACUCGAGACCGAUAGUGCACUAGUAGCUUGAGUGAAUGUUGAAAAGUAUCCUUGA
rfam:Candidate division WOR_1 bacterium DG_54_3 WOR1_52_54_39804, whole genome shotgun sequence.